AACAAGGCGUACCUGCGGACCUGCGGAGGGAUCAUUACCAGAGAGCCUUUUGGCACUCCAACCCAUUGUGAACAUACCUAUCGUUCCCUCGGCGGGCUCAGCGCGCGGGGCCUCCGGGCUUCCGGGCGUCCGCCGGGGACAACCAAACCCUGAUUUACUACGUGUAUCUCUGAGGGGCGAAAGCCCGAAAACAAAAUAAAUCAAAACUUUUAACAAUGGAUCUCAGAUCGGAAGAGCACA
rnacentral:misc_RNA from 1 species